UACGGGGGGGGCAAGCGUUGUUCGGAAUUACUGGGCGUAAAGGGCUGGUAGGCGGCCAACUAAGUCGGAUGUGAAAUCCCCAGGCUUAACCUGGGAACUGCAUCCGAUACUGGUCGGCUUGAAUCCGGGAGAGGGAUGCAGAAUUCCAGGUGUAGCGGUGAAAUGCGUAGAUAUCUGGAGGAAUACCGGUGGCGAAGGCGGCAUCCUGGACCGGCAUUGACGCUGAGGAGCGAAAGCUAGGGGAGCAAACGGG
rnacentral:rRNA from 1 species